rnacentral:rRNA from 1 species
CAGUCGCCGCGGGAAUACGAAGGGUGCAAGCGUUAAUCGGAAUUACUGGACGUAAAGCGUGCGUAGGCGGUUCGUUAAGUCUGCUGUGAAAUCCCCGGGCUCAACCUGGGAAUGGCAGUGGAUACUGGCUCGCUAGAGUGUGUCAGAGGAUGGUGGAAUUCCCGGUGUAGCGGCGAAAUGCAUAGAGAUCGGGAGGAACAUCAGUGGCGAAGGCGGCCAUCUGGGACAACACUGACGCUGGGGCACGAAAGCGUGGGGAGCAAACAGGAUUAGAUACCCCUGUAGUCCCUGUCUCUUAUAC